GACGAACGCUGGCGGCGCGCCUAACACAUGCAAGUCGAACGAGAGAUGAAGAGCUUGCUCUUCAAAUCGAGUGGCGAACGGGUGAGUAACGCGUGAGGAACCUGCCUCAAAGAGGGGGACAACAGUUGGAAACGACUGCUAAUACCGCAUAAGCCCACGGCUCGGCAUCGAGCAGAGGGAAAAGGAGCAAUCCGCUUUGAGAUGGCCUCGCGUCCGAUUAGCUAGUAGGUGGGGUAACGGCUCACCUAGGCGACGAUCCCUAGCUGGUCUGAGAGGAUGACCAGCCACACUGGAACUGAGACACGGUCCAGACUCCUACGGGAGGCAGCAGUGGGGAAUAUUGCACAAUGGGCGCAAGCCUGAUGCAGCCAUGCCGCGUGUAUGAAGAAGGCCUUCGGGUUGU
rnacentral:rRNA from 1 species